AGGACACAAUCCCAGUCCGAUGUUUGGAAAGCAGAAAUGGGAGUGGGGUCAGAUUUGUCCCAUUGGUCAUUUUAUCCCAAACAAAGGGGAUAGAUCUAACCCAUCUAGAGACUGGGUCACUUUUGUUGUCCGAGCGAGCUCUCUUCGAAGCAUCACUCGCCAUCCCCUUCGAAGCAUCUCCGAUCUCGAAUCUCCAAGCUGAUCGAAGCAUUUCCAAGCUGACGAUCCCCUUCGAAGCAUCUCUGGCUGGGCUUGAUUUGAUAUUCAGGAGGAAGAAAGCUUGAUUUUAGAGGCUUAAACUAGAUCUAAAGCAUCGGGUGUGGAAGGGUGUUGAUCCAAGUAUUAGAGCUGAAGUGUGGCCGUUUCUCCUUGGAGUGUAAGCACUUCCAACCUUGAGAAGUUAAUAUAUUUUGUUAUUGCAUAUCAGAUUUCAAUGUAUUAUUAUACAACCAAUUUAUUUUGUGGAGACUAUGUCUCUGUGAAGUUCUUCUUUUUUACAUAAUGUAAUGAAUUCCACAAGUUAGUCAAGUCCCAUGGAUUGAAUUACUUAAUCCAUGGCAUUGUGGAGGUUGAGUUCUAUUUUUAAUGAAAUACUCAACCCUCAUUUAUUUUUUUAA